rnacentral:rRNA from 1 species
GACGUAGGGCGCGAGCGUUGUCCGGAUUUAUUGGGCGUAAAGAGCUCGUAGGCGGCUUGUCGCGUCGACUGUGAAAUCCCGGAGCUCAACUCCGGAUAUGCCGCGGAUACUGGCGGACUAGAGACCGGUAGAGGCGAGUGGAAUUCCAGGUGUAGCGGUGGAAUGCGUAGAUAUCGGGAGGAACACCUAUGGCGAAGGCAGCUCUCUGGGACGGUACUGGACGCUGAGACGCGAAAGCGUGGGGAGCGAACAGG